UACGUAGGGGGCAAGCGUUGUCCGGAUUUAUUGGGCGUAAAGAGCUCGUAGGCGGCUUGUCACGUCGGAUGUGAAAGCCCGGGGCUUAACCCCGGGUCUGCAUUCGAUACGGGCUAGCUAGAGUGUGGUAGGGGAGAUCGGAAUUCCUGGUGUAGCGGUGAAAUGCGCAGAUAUCAGGAGGAACACCGGUGGCGAAGGCGGAUCUCUGGGCCAUUACUGUCGCUGAGGAGCGAAAGCGUGGGGAGCGAACAGG
rnacentral:rRNA from 1 species